ACGUAGGUGGCGAGCGUUAUCCGGAUUUAUUGGGUUUAAAGGGAGCGUAGGCGGCUAAUUAAGUCAGUGGUUAAAGGUAGCAGCUUAACUGUUUUACAUGCCAUUGAUACUGGUUAGCUUGAGUUGACGGAAGGCAGAUAGAAUUUCUGGUGUAGCGGUGAAAUGCUUAGAUACCAGAAGGAAUACCGAUUGCGAAGGCAGUCUGCUGCAGUCACACUGACGCUGAGGCUCGAAGGUGCGGGGAUCAAACAGG
rnacentral:rRNA from 1 species